GAUGAACGCUAGCGGCAGGCUUAACACAUGCAAGUCGAGGGGCAGCAUGAAGGUUAGCAAUAACCGUUGAUGGCGACCGGCGCAAGGGUGCGUAACGCGUGAGCAACUUGCCCUUAUCAGGGGGAUAACCGGUGGAAACGCCGACUAAUACCCCAUAGUAUUGGCUUUAGGCAUCUUUAGUCAAUUAAAGAAUUUCGGAUAAGGAUAGGCUCGCGUGACAUUAGCUAGAUGGCGGGGUAACGGCCCACCAUGGCUACGAUGUCUAGGGGUUCUGAGAGGAAGGUCCCCCACACUGGAACUGAGACACGGUCCAGACUCCUACGGGAGGCAGCAGUGAGGAAUAUUGGUCAAUGGUCUGACGACUGAACCAGCCAUUGCCGCGUGAAGGUCACGGCCCUAUGGGUCUUAAACUUCUUUUGUAAGGGAGCAAUAAGUCUCACGUGUGGGAUGAUGAGAGUACCUUACGAAUAAGCAUCGGCUAACUCCGUGCCAGCAG
rnacentral:rRNA from 1 species